rnacentral:rRNA from 1 species
AGGGUUUGAUCCUGGCUCAGGAUGAACGCUGGCGGCGUGCUUAACACAUGCAAGUCGAGCGAAGCACUUUACUUGGAUUUCUUCGGAAUGACGAGUAUUGUGACUGAGCGGCGGACGGGUGAGUAACGCGUGGGUAACCUGCCUCAUACAGGGGGAUAACAGUUAGAAAUGACUGCUAAUACCGCAUAAGACCACAGCACCGCAUGGUGCAGGGGUAAAAACUCCGGUGGUAUGAGAUGGACCCGCGUCUGAUUAGCUGGUUGGUGGGGUAACGGCCUACCAAGGCGACGAUCAGUAGCCGGCCUGAGAGGGCGACCGGCCACAUUGGGACUGAGACACGGCCCAA